UAAGACAGAGGGUGCGAACGUUGCUCGGAAUUACUGGGCGUAAAGCGCGUGUAGGCGGGUGAUCAAGUCAGGUGUGAAAUCCCUGGGCUCAACCCAGGAACUGCACUUGAAACUGGUCGCCUUGAGUGUUGGAGAGGGAAGCGGAAUUCCUGGUGUAGAGGUGAAAUUCGUAGAUAUCAGGAGGAACACCGGUGGCGAAGGCGGCUUCCUGGACAACUACUGACGCUGAGACGCGAAAGCGUGGGGAGCAAACAGGAUUAGAUACCCUGGUAGUCCACGCCGUAAACGAUGAGUGCUAGGUGUCUCGGGUAUUGACCCCUGAGGUGCCGUAGCUAACGCGUUAAGCACUCCGCCUGGGAACUACGGCCGCAAGGCUA
rnacentral:rRNA from 1 species